GAUGAACGCUGGCGGCGUGCUUAACACAUGCAAGUCGAACGGAAAGGCCCAAGCUUGCUUGGGUACUCGAGUGGCGAACGGGUGAGUAACACGUGGGUGAUCUGCCCUGCACUUCGGGAUAAGCCUGGGAAAAUGGGUCUAAUACCGGAUAGGACCACUUCUUGGAUGUUGUGGUGGAAAGUUUUUUCGGUGUGGGAUGAGCUCGCGGCCUAUCAGCUUGUUGGUGGGGUAAUGGCCUACCAAGGCGUCGACGGGUAGCCGGCCUGAGAGGGUGUACGGCCACAUUGGGACUGAGAUACGGCCCAGACUCCUACGGGAGGCAGCAGUGGGGAAUAUUGCACAAGGGGCGCAAGCCUGAUGCAGCGACGCCGCGUGGGGGAUGACGGCCUUCGGGUUGUAAACUCCUUUCGCUAGGGACGAAGCGUUUUGUGACGGUACCUGGAGAAGAAGCACCGGCUAACUACGUG
rnacentral:rRNA from 1 species